ACCCAGAUGACGAGUUCAGAAUGGGACGAAACGCAUGUCCUGGAU
rfam:Schistosoma haematobium scaffold40_24, whole genome shotgun sequence.